AUACCUUGGUCGAGGGCUAUCGCAACCGAGUCCGCCAAGGCUGUUAAAAAGUCAUGUACGCAUAAAUCAUGUUUUUAUUUUGAAAACAUAGUCGUUCCUUGGCGUUGGCUGAGUUCACCCUCACGUGGUGGUUUAGCGUGAAGUGAACUCUAAAGUGUUAACCUCAGGAGUUAUCCAUCCACGCCUCUCAUACUGAGGUAAGAAUAUAAUAGGGUUACCAUGCCCCUCUAAUAGGCUGGUCCACGGAACCCGUCCACUACAGCGACCAAUAUAUAACCAACCAAUUCAAUAAAAUUUGCAAUAGCAUGACAUGGCAAUUAUUUUAUUUUACAGCCUCUCAAGGCAAAUUAACAUUUCAUACAUUUUCAACAGAAAUACCAAUUAAGCCAUUCAUGCAAAUAUUAUCAUAAGCCAUUCAAUUCAAAUCAUGAUUUAUAACACAGCAAUUAUGUCACGACCCAAAUUCCAGGCCAUGACCGGCGCAUGGGCCCAAUAGACGUGGUCUAUUAAGCCCAAGCAAGCCUAUUUAUUCAUCCUACUCAUUAUUCCAUCAAACCUUGCUAAGUCACAAAUUAUAACUUUAAAUCAAAAUAGUAAUAGACAUUGCCAACUCGUAUUGGCAUUUCUCAUUUAUUAUAUACAUUCAUUGUCUACAACAUGUAUUCCAAUAAUGUACAUUAGGUUCGCCUAUACAUAUCAAAAAAAAGACUUGACUUCCAGCGGAGGGACUCGAACGAAUGUACAGCUACUGAAUGUCGAGACACCUACCCAAAAGAUGGAUAUAAGUCUACAAGGACACCUCAUCCUAGUUACCGGCUGCCUCGUGAUCUGAAAACAUGAAGUUGAAAACGGUGAGUAUAAACCUAGUGAGUGAACAAGGAAGGGAACAAGCAUACCAUAAGGAAUCUUUAAUGAAAUCAUGAUACAUUCUUUUUUCAAAACAACGCAAUUUGUUACUAUUCUUAUUAAAAACCCCUCAUCAAGCCUUUAAAUGAUUAAUUAUUUGAAAAUCAUUAACCCAUGCAUAACGAACCAUUUGAAGAAUAAAAGCUUCAAUAUUACAUAAGUAAGUCAAAUACAACAACGAAUCUUCACUGCAGCGGAAAGGCAUUCUCGUUGCAGCGACGUUGGGAUUUAGUUAUUAACCGAACGAGGGUUUCUCAACUGGCCGAGGAUUUUUCACUAAACCUCCUCAUUUUAAACUUAACUCAUUUAAUCCUUAAUGUUGGAAGUUCAUGCUUCGAUAUAGUAGCAAAGAAGUAAAAGAUAGGGCAGCAAUUGAACAAGAUAGGAUACCAAAAUAGAAAGUUUUUUGCUACAGCGAGAUUUAAUCUCGCUGCAGCAAAAUUGUAACCCAAAAACAGAAUGUUUCUCGCUGUAGCAAGAAGCUAUAGUGUCAUUCUCGCUGCAGCGAAAAUGCAUCAUCGCUGCAGCAAGUUUUCGACCAACCUACCCUUUCAAAACCCGAGAUUUCUCGCUGCAGCGAGAAUGAUUCUCGCUGCAGCGAAAUACAGGGCAUCAAAUGAAAAUUUCCCUUUCUCCCAAAAAAAACCACCCUGCUUGAAAUGUUCAAAACCAAUAUGAAACACAUAACAAUUUCUCAAGGUUUAACAUGUCAAGUUUCACAUGCAUUACAACCAUAAACCAUUAUCCAUCAAUUUCCUAUAACACACAUAUUUACGUAUGUAUAUAUAUAUAUGCAUAUACCCAUCAUCAUCAUCACACCAUCCCAUCAUCAUCAUCACCAGCUCAUGCGCACUCCCUACUCGCACAUGGCUGGGUCAUCACCGGGUUAUGCAUACUCCCUACUCGCACAUAGCCGAGUCAAUAUAAUUACACAACAUUAUAUUCAAGCAUAUAUGUAUAUCAAUAUAAUGCAGCCACAUAAAAAUCCAUAAUAACCACAUAUCACAACAUAAAUCAUUUCAAGAGCUUGUUCCCAAGGCAUUCAUUUUCAUGAAAAAUCGUAUAAAAUCAUUCAAACGUUUGUCAAAUACAUUAUAUUCCCAAAAUAAGUUUUGAAGGCAGUCCACUCACCAAUUGAUUAUAAAGCCUUUAGAUGACUCCAAUUUCCUUAAUUGUCCAAAUGAGAUGAUGGGGCUUCCUUAAAACCUAGGAUCACAUUAACAUAAACAAUAGAUCAAUUUACACACUAUGAAUUCUAAAAGCUAUCUCUUAGCUAGUUUUCAAUUGCCACAUUAAAUGGCUAUCUAUGUUCACUAUCUUAAUCACUAAAAAAAAUAAUGAACAUAGUCAACAAUAAAACAGCUCAUAAAUCCCAAUUACUAGCCAUUUUCUGUAGCUAAAAAUCGAGCUUAGUUCAUCACUUACCCUAGGACUCCUUUAUAGUCAAAUUCUCUUCCAAUUGCUUCCAAAUCAAUGGAGUAAUUCUCUCUUUCUCUCUCUAGAAUGCCCAAUUAGUAAGAGAAAGUUUGGAAAUAAGCUUUAUCAAGGGUUUUGAAGUGAGAGGAUGAAAGAAUUCAAAGGUUCUAGUCAAAAGGGUUCAAAGGUAUGAAAACUAGAGCUAAAGAGAGAAAAUCAUUCAAGCUUUAAUCAAGCUUCCAUGGAGUUUUGAAGAAACGUGAGAGAGGAGAAGAAGAAGAAGGCCAGCUGCUGGAAAUUCAAGAUAUUUAUAGGCAAUCUUAUCCUUUCCCUUAAAAUUACAAAAAUGCCCCUCCACCAAUUAACUUAUUCUCCUCCAAUCUUUUAUGCAAUCAUUUUAUUCUUUUGACACUGGGACAAGAUCCAUAAUGGUCUAGACAUGUUCGGAUUCAUACAAACUUAAAAUUUUAACUCGGGGUGAAAAAUGACCAUUUUGCCCCUAUUAUGAAAAUUAUUGAAACUUUUAGUUUUCUUCGUGUUUUCAUCAACACACAUCAUUUAUGCAGUCUUAUACCCAUUUAAGCCUUAAAAUAUCAUAAAACUUUCUUCUGGAAGCUUAUUAGAGAAAAUGACAAAACUACCCUUAGCUCGUAUUAUUACAUCUAUACUUAGUUACAAGUCUAUAGAGGUUGAGGUCUCACAAAUUAGUCUCCAAUUACUUCAUUUUCAAAACCAUCAUUGAAUUUCAAGACAAUUUUAUAAAAUCAUUUUCAUUUAAUCCCAUUUUGCUUAUAAAACAUAAAGAUUUACCAUUUAAACUCAUUUUCCAUAAAAUCACAAAAUCGGAUAAAAACCACUUUAGAUAAUUAAAAUGAUAGUAAGGUUACUCACUGUAUCAGGAGUUUGAAAUACUCCUAUUCUCAAUCCUCUGACACAACGUCUUUACCCUUGUUAAAGGGCUCACCACCUAUAUACAAAACACGACACAUAAUUCAAUAUACUGUGUCAUACCAUUAUAAAUCUAUUUCAGGCUUUUUACUAAUACAUGAAAUGGGAUGCAAAUUGUUCGGAUUAUCGUCUACAUACGAUGUUUUACACAAAUUCAAUUGUGUACCUAAAUAAAACAGUAUUGGCCUAAUUCGAUCUAUCACUCAAUUAAUUGGCCAAUAUGUCCAAUUCAACUCCAAUUAAUUCCAUUUUUCUUCCAAUUCUCCAAACCAUCAAACACAAGUCAAAUAGCAUAAAAUUUAGCAAAUCAUCUUCACAUUUUCUCUUGAGCAUUUCGGCCAUGGUGGGUGCAUCAAUACUAUAAUUUUUCUUACUUGAUUUUCUCACCGUAAUUCAUCAUUUCCUAACCAAUUCACUUGAAAUAAAAUCAUAUCCAUCAUCAAUAUUCCACAUGGAGAAUUCGGUGGGAGAACAUGAAUUUUUCUUACUUGAUUUUCAUGCUACACAUCACCAAUCAACUAAAAACACUAAAAUUUAUUGAAAUCUAACCAAAACAACCAUCAAAAUCUCUCUCCUAGGGUUUGAUCAGCACACUAUCCUUCAUGAUAUCUUGUGAUUCAACCAUGAAAAAUGCAAAAGAAUGUAUGGGAAAGGUAGAUCACAAGCUAGAAUUGAAAAAUCUUACCUUUUUUCACUUGUUUCUUUGAAUUUUCACACUUUUCC
rnacentral:lncRNA from 1 species